ensembl:lncRNA
UAGGAAUGUAGUGAAUUACAGUGUUUGCUUAUCCUUGCAGAGUGGAGAAUGUUUUUUGCCAGAGCAAUUGUUUGCAAGAGCGGCCAGCCCAGAGGACUACAGAAGGACAUUCAGGCAGAACAUUCACCUCUCCCUAGAAGACAGCCUAUGAAAGAGAACUAAGUGUGUUCAAUGGACAGUUUCUGCCCUUCAAGUGGCAUUAUUGAAGUAUAAUGACCCCAAAGCCCUUGAGACUAUUGUGUUCUGAUGGGACUGUUGUACUGGGUGCCACAGGAUGAGAUCAUAGGCCUGGAGUGAGGGCCGGGUUUCCUGGGGGAAUAGAUGUCCCAUCAUUGGUCACCAGGGAGGAGCAGGUGUUCGGUAGGAAAUAAGUGCAGGGAGGCAGCUUGAGAAUCCCUUCCCCUUUCUGGGUCUUGGGAGGGGUGGGGCUGGGAUUCCAGGCAGAGUAGACCUGAUUUGAGGGCACUUGGACUGCGUGCAGUUGUGCUGGCUCACGCCACAUGACAGGAUAGAAGCCCUGUAGGAAGACAGUGCAGCUUUGUCCAACAGAGCGCGGCCAAGCUGUGCACCCUGCUGGGGGCUGCCCUUGCUGGGAGAAAGGCAUGUCUUUUUCUCGACACAAAGGUACCACCUACUAACUAAACCCUUACCUGACAAGGACCUGCCCACCAACUGGGAUCGCUGUCUUCUAAGGUAUCUGCCUGCCUUGUGGGUGGGGAGAGGGGACCCAUUUUUCUGUUUUUUUUCAGCCCAGAGAAGCUUUUUCUGCCCACAAAGACAUAUUCUGCACGCCAAGCCAUCAGACUGCUUAAGGAACCUGAGCUCCACAGAACUCAAUGAAAAAGCAACUAUAACAGAAGAGAUACGUAUAUUUCCCCAAAACCGAAAGCCAUUUUCAUCUCUAGUUUUCUGGAUGCCUCAGAUCCCAGAUGUGGCCAAGAAAAUUGCUACAUAAAUUGGACACUGCCCAAAGAAGCCUUAACGCCAUUCCUGGGUUCUUUGUCAAAACCAUGGUGGCUUUUCUUGUCUUCACAGAGCUGAGCCCAUUGUUCUGUGGUCCCUGCAGCUGUGCCUCUGACCUGGGUGGAGCUGCAAGUCUGGGCAGGAGAGGCUUGGGAAGCUAGAGUUGUUGCUGAUGAUCUGUUUUCAGCUUGGGGCAGGAGCCAGGCUGGGUGCCAGAAGCAACUUUUGAUCAGUCAUUAGGCACAGACUUUGCUCCAGCCACACAGCCACCUCAUUCCUGCCUUGGGGCCUUCGCAUUCGCUGUUGGCUCUGCUUGGAGUCUUCUCUCUUGAUCUGCCCCAGACUUGUUGCUCCCUACUUCAUCAGAUGUUACCUUCUCAGAAGGACCUUCCAUGUCCACCUCCAGUGCAGGCCCUGUUCACACUCUGUCCACUGCUCUGCUGAUUUCUUUAUGACAGUUACGGCACUCUACAAGGAUCUUGUUUAUUUGUUUACAUGGCCACUGUCUCUUUCCUUACUGGAACGUCUGGAACAUUAGUUCCACCAGGGUCAUCUGAGGGCUCCCAAGGUGACCCACACAGACCAGACCCCAGCCUGCACCCCAGGAGGCUCCUGCUCCCCACAUACACAGAGCUCACCUCAGCCUUACCUCAUAGAUGAGGAAGACUUUGGCGCCCACAUAAAUGCCCAUGUGUGUCACGACCCAGACAGCGGUGUUCAUGCCUGCGAGAGGUCAGGGCAAGCCCGUCAGUCCCAUGCUGAGAUGCGAGGCCCUGGACGCCUCCUCACCUCAGAGGGUGAAGUGGGGAGGCCUGGACACCCUCUCCAUCUCAAAGCGCAGCGGGUGAGGGGAGGGCCUGGCAGGCGAAGGAUCUUGUGUCUCUUGUUCACUACUGUCCACAACCUCCAGCACAAUGCUGGGUAUAUAAUAGAUAAUAUCUGUUGAAUGAAUAAAUGCACACAGCAGCAAGCUGUGUGGCUGCUUAUCCAACAUAACUGUAUCCCCGUGCUUCUCCCUUCCUAACAUAACUCCAGUCUGCUUGGCAACAUGUCCUAUUCAUGACCACGUGUUUGCCCUAAGCUGUUCAUAGCAUUCUCUUUCCCUGUGCUAAUAACUGGUUUUUCAAAAGGACCCAUGACUUAGUUCUGACCAAAACCAUGAGCAGAAGUCUACUAGGUAGGGCCGGGGGUUCUAAAAGAGGCUUUCCCCUUUAUAAAAAGAGAAGCAGCCACUGUCAUAUUAUCUGGAUUGGAUCUGCUUAGUACAGCUGUGCCUUACUUCUCGCUCUGAGGAGAGUUACCGUGAAGAAAAAUGCAACCCGAUGAAGAUAGCUAGGGUGGGAGUUGGAAGAAACUGGGUCUUCUAUGACAUUACUGAAGAAAUAAAUUAACCAUCUCUGGAGCUUGCAUAUCUCUGGAUCUCUUGCUAUGGGGCAUAAUAAAUUUUCCUAUUAUUAAGCCAU